UUUGUCAGUUGUUACAUGAUUUUUAAUCAUCCUAGUCAGAAACUAAGAAAAGUAAUUUAUAAGUGAAUGCAUUUGGGUGGGGAACAGCAACUAAUUGCUAAAGAAAAGGAGGAAUCCACCCGAGGGGCUCGCGUGUGGUUAGCUAGUUAGUGUGACAAUCACUUUGCAGAGGGAUGAUCAGUAGCUGGUCUUAGAGGAUGAUCAACUGCACUAGGACUGAAACAUGGCCCAGAUUCCUGUGAGGGGCAGCAGUGAGGAACUUUCCGGAAUGGGCGUAAGCCUGAUGGA
rfam:Solanum tuberosum cultivar DM 1-3 516 R44 scf00128_61, whole genome shotgun sequence.